rnacentral:rRNA from 1 species
ACAAGCGGUGGAGUAGUGUGGUUUAAUUCGAUGCAACGCGAAGAACCUUACCUGGUCUUGACAUCCCGGAGACCCUUAGGAAACUAGGGGGUGCUUCCAUCUGGAAGAAUCUGGAGACAGGUGCUGCAUGGCUGUCGUCAGCUCGUGUCGUGAGAUGUUGGGUUAAGUCCCGCAACGAGCGCAACCCUUGCCUUUAGUUGCCAGCAGUUCGGCUGGGCACUCUAAAGGGACUGCCGGUGUUAAACCGGAGGAAGGUGGGGAUGACGUCAAGUCCUCAUGGCCUUUAUGACCAGGGCUACACACGUACUACAAUGGCCGAUACAAAGGGCAGCGACACUGCGAGGUGAAGCCAAUCCCGUAAAAUCGGUACUCAGUCCGGAUUGGAGUCUGCAACUCGACUCCCAUGAAGUUGGAAUCGCUAGUAAUCGUGGAUCAGCAUGCCACGGUGAAUACGUUCCCGGGCCUU